CAGCAGCCGCGGUAAUACGAAGGGGGCUAGCGUUGUUCGGAUUUACUGGGCGUAAAGGGCGCGUAGGCGGACUGACAAGUCAGGGGUGAAAUCCCAAGGCUCAACCUUGGAACUGCCUUUGAUACUGUUUGUCUUGAGUUCGAGAGAGGUAAGUGGAACUGCGAGUGUAGAGGUGAAAUUCGUAGAUAUUCGCAAGAACACCAGUGGCGAAGGCGGCUUACUGGCUCGAAACUGACGCUGAGGCGCGAAAGCGUGGGGAGCAAACAGGAUUAGAUACCCGAGUAGUCCCUGUCUCUUAUAC
rnacentral:rRNA from 1 species